UCCGUAGGUGAACCUGCGGAAGGAUCAUUACAGAGUAAACUUGGUGGGUUGUUGCUGGCUCUCAAUUGAGCAUGUGCACACCUAUCAUCUUUAUCUUUCCACCAUGUGCACUUUCUGUAGGACUGGAAUAGACGAUAAGCCUAGUCACUUGUGGGCUAUUGGAAAGUUGCUGAUUUUCUCAGCUCUUUCUGUUUUCUGGCUGUCUAUUCUAUGCUCUACGAUAUUUCUAUAUACACCAUGUAUGUCAAUGAACGCAAUCAAUGGGCCCAUAAAGCCUAUAAAUCUAUAAUACAACUUUCAGCAACGGAUCUCUUGGCUCUCGCAUCGAUGAAGAACGCAGCGAAAUGCGAUAAGUAAUGUGAAUUGCAGAAUUCAGUGAAUCAUCGAAUCUUUGAACGCACCUUGCGCUCCUUGGUAUUCCGAGGAGCAUGCCUGUUUGAGUGUCAUUAAAUUCUCAAUCUCUACAACUUUGUGCUGUCCAGAUUGGAAGUGGGGGUCUUUUGUGUGGAUCCAAUUCCUCACUUCCCUUAAAUGCAUUAGCUGGAAUGCCUCUGCAUAUCUGACUAUCAGUGUGAUAAUUAUCUAUGCUGUAGUUGUUGCAUGAGGGUAUCUGCUUCAUUAAUCGUCGCAAGACAAUUUUGACCAUCUUGACCUCAAAUCAGGUAGGACUACCCGCUGAACUUAAGCAUAUCAAUAAGCGGAGGAAAAGAAACUAACAAGGAUUCCCCUAGUAACUGCGAGUGAAGCGGGAAAAGCUCAAAUUUAAAAUCUGGCGGUCUUUGGCCGUCCGAGUUGUAAUCUAGAGAAGUGUUAUCCGCGUUGGACCGUGUACAAGUCUCCUGGAAUGGAGCAUCAUAGAGGGUGAGAAUCCCGUCUUUGACACGGACUACCAGUGCUUUGUGAUGCGCUCUCAAAGAGUCGAGUUGUUUGGGAAUGCAGCUCCAAAUGGGUGGUAAAUUCCAUCUAAAGCUAAAUAUUGGCGAGAGACCGAUAGCGAACAAGUACCGUGAGGGAAAGAUGAAAAGAACUUUGGAAAGAGAGUUAAACAGUACGUGAAAUUGCUGAAAGGGAAACGCUUGAAGU
rnacentral:sRNA from 1 species